CAGCAGCCGCGGGAAUACGUAGGGUGCAAGCGUUGUCCGGAAUUAUUGGGCGUAAAGAGCUCGUAGGCGGUUUGUCGCGUCUGCUGUGAAAUCCCGAGGCUCAACCUCGGGCUUGCAGUGGGUACGGGCAGACUAGAGUGCGGUAGGGGAGAUUGGAAUUCCUGGUGUAGCGGUGGAAUGCGCAGAUAUCAGGAGGAACACCGAUGGCGAAGGCAGAUCUCUGGGCCGUAACUGACGCUGAGGAGCGAAAGCGUGGGGAGCGAACAGGAUUAGAUACCCCUGUAGUCCCUGUCUCUUAUAC
rnacentral:rRNA from 1 species